GUACUAACCCCACCAACGCAUAGGUACUCACACCACCAACACAUAGGUACUAACCCCACCAACACAUAGGUACUCACACCACCAACACAUAGAUACUCACACCACCAACACAUAGGUACUAACCCCACCAACACAUAGGUACUAACCCCACCAACACAUAGGUACUCACACCACCAACACAUAGGUACUAACCCCACCAACACAUAGGUACUAACCCCACCAACACAUAGGUACUAACCCCACCAACACAUAGGUACUAACCCCACCAACACAUAGGUACUCACACCACCAACACAUAGGUACUAACCCCACUAACACAUAGGUACUCACACCACCAACACAUAGGUACUCACACCACCAACACAUAGAUACUCACACCACCAACACAUAGAUACUCACACCACCAACACAUAGGUACUAACCCCACCAACACAUAGGUACUAACCCCACCAACACAUAGGUACUAACCCCACCAACACAUAGGUACUCACACCACCAACGGACAUGGAAACAACAACCAACAAAGACAGAGGGAACAGAGGGCACAUAUAUAACAUACUGAUCAGGGGAAAUGGGAACCAGGUGUGUGUAAUCAGACAAGACAGUUAUUAUAAACUGUGAUUAUUUUUUGUAAUGUGUGUUUUUCUUAUAGCAGUUUAUUUAUUUUAAUCGUUUUAAUAUCCAUCUUGUACUUUUUAUAUGUUUUGAUUUUGUUUUGGUUUUUAAAUUCUUAUUAAUUGCUGUUGUUUUUAUUGUUGUAUCACAGGGCCCAACUGUAAAAGAGACUCUGUCUCAGCUUGGUCCCCUGUUUAAAUAAAGGUUAAUAAACAUAAAAUCAUCACAA